GGCUGCUACUGCUCUGGAUCACUGCUAAGGACACCCGGAGAUGUGGAGGGGCAGAGGAUGAGAGUGUGCGUUUCCGGAUCCCACCACUCCCUGGGAUCCAGGAGAUGUUGUCCUGACCCAGACCCUACUCUCUCUGUCUGUCACCCCUGGAGAACCGGGUUCCAUCUCCUGCAGGUCCAAUCAGAGUCUCUUGCAGAGUGAUGGAAACACUUAUUUGCAUUGGUUGUUCACAAACCAGGCUAGGCUCAACAAGGAAUGAUUUAUUGGGUUUUCAAUUCAG
rnacentral:lncRNA from 1 species